rnacentral:rRNA from 1 species
AACGAACGCUGGCGGCAUGCCUAACACAUGCAAGUCGAACGAAGCCUUCGGGCUUAGUGGCGCACGGGUGCGUAGCGCGUAGGAAUCUGCCCUUUGGUUCGGAAUAACAGUUGGAAACGACUGCUAAUACCGGAUGAUGACGAAAGUCCAAAGAUUUAUCGCCAGAGGAUGAGCCCGCGUAGGAUUAGCUAGUUGGUGUGGUAAAGGCGCACCAAGGCGACGAUCCUUAGCUGGUCUGAGAGGAUGAUCAGCCACACUGGGACUGAGACACGGCCCAGACUCCUACGGGAGGCAGCAGUGGGGAAUAUUGGACAAUGGGCGAAAGCCUGAUCCAGCAAUGCCGCGUGAGUGAUGAAGGCCCUAGGGUUGUAGAGCUCUUUUACCCGGGAUGAUAAUGACAGUACCGGGAGAAUAAGCCCCGGCUAACUCCGUGCCAGCAGCCGCUGUAA